AUCGAAUAAAUAUCUGUUACCCUUAUUUGAUAGAUAUAUAUUCUUUUUUUGUCAACUAUAGAUAUUAUGCUUAAACCAUUCUAGCAGAGGCCUCUUUGAUAUUUAAAAAAAACUAGGGAUUGGCCCGCCCUACGGGCGGGUUAGUAACUGAUCGAAGUAUAUAAAAUAUAAUAAAUUUUAUCGAAUAUUUCAAAGUGUUUAGUUUACUUUAAAUUGUUAGUAAUUUUUAUUUCUUUAAAUUAUAAUACAAAUAUUAUAAGUAUGUCCUUCAAAAUUUUUAAAUUAUACAUUUAUAUAUAUCAUCUAUUUUUGAUAAACUCUGAUAUUUUGGUUGAAAUGUUGCUUGAUAUCUUUAUCAUGCUUUUUCCAGCUGAUUAAAACUUGAAAUGCUGAUAAAUAACAACAUGAUAUAAUCUAGUAUUAGUUAUGACAUCAAUUAUGCAUAUUAGAUAUUUACAAUCAUAGAUAAAAUAUUAUCCCAAGUAAAUGUUAUCAUCAUACGACAUACGCACGAAAUUAUCUGGCUAACAAAUUAAUAGAAAAAAAAGAACAACAUCAGAAAGAUCCUUUACAGCAUCUUGGAUUAUACUGCCAAACCUCAGAUUCUUUUGUCCUUCUUUGUCAUUCCUAUCCUAUGGAUAUCUUGAUGAAGACCUUGCACAGAAGUAUGUCAGUGUCUGAUUGGUCCUCAAAACCAAGCUGAAUGAAGACACUUAUCAUUCGAACCUCAAGCUCCAAAUUCAGUUUCCCUACAUCAUAUGCACCCACUGAAAAGAAUGCGGAAAACAACACAAAUCACGCAGAGGGCAAGAAACAGAAUCAUAACUUCUGAUGAGAUAUAUUUAAGGAUUCAGACCUGCAAUAGCUAGAGAUCCAAGCUUUGUGGUAGGCCAUUGAUGUCGGAGUUUGCAAGCUUGGUAUCGAAUCUUGGAAGACAGUUAAGAGUCCCAAUCAAACCGGGUAUUAACACUUAGUCGGUGCGAGUAUUCUUGGCGGAGCGCCCUACAUCUACAGUGACAGUUAGAUCUUCCUCUCCAUUGUAACCAGCAGAAACAGAUAGAUCUAUUGGCUCAUUGGUGGGCAUGUUUGUCCUUCAGCCAUCACAGAACUAUGUCCAGGCCAUUCAUGAGCAGGUGUUGUUCUUUUCAAUGCCAGCUGACAGAAAAUAAGUUGUAGAAAAUCUUAUUAUACAAUGAUCAAGAACUAUAUACAUAUUUUUUGUGAGCUAAAAAAGAUAGCUAAACCAUUGAGCAGAUAA